rnacentral:rRNA from 1 species
UGGCAGGUCAGCAUACUGCCGUGAAUACGUUCCCGGGCCUUGUACACACCGCCCGUCACACCAUGAGAGUUGGGAAUACCCGAAGCCUGUGAGCUAACUUUUAAGAGGCAGCAGUCGAAGGUAGAAUCAAUGAUUGGGGUGAAGUCGUAACAAGGUAUC